AUUGAACGCUGGCGGCAUGCUUUACACAUGCAAGUCGAACGGUAACAGGCCGCAAGGUGCUGACGAGUGGCGAACGGGUGAGUAAUGCAUCGGAACGUGCCCAGUCGUGGGGGAUAACGCAGCGAAAGCUGCGCUAAUACCGCAUACGAUCUCUGGAUGAAAGCGGGGGACCGAAAGGCCUCGCGCGAUUGGAGCGGCCGAUGUCAGAUUAGGUAGUUGGUGGGGUAAAGGCCCACCAAGCCAACGAUCUGUAGCUGGUCUGAGAGGACGACCAGCCACACUGGGAUUGAGACACGGCCCAGACUCCUACGGGAGGCAGCAGUGGGGAAUUUUGGACAAUGGGCGCAAGCCUGAUCCAGCAAUGCCGCGUGCAGGAAGAAGGCCUUCGGGUUGUAAACUGCUUUUGUACGGAACGAAACGGUCCGGGCUAAUACCCUGGGCUAAUGACGGUACCGUAAGAAUAAGCACCGGCCAACUACGUGCCAGCCGCCGCCGUAAUAC
rnacentral:rRNA from 1 species